CAGGAGAGGACCGGCCUAAACCGGCGCGAGCAGAUCCCAGCCGGCCCGCCCGCGCGCCGCCGCCGCCGCCGCCGCCGCCCGCGCGCCCCGCUAUACAUACGGCAUAUGUCGCACGGCGCUCGCGCUCGCGGCCGCGCAGCCUAGCCUGCUGACGUGGGGCGGGGCGAGCACGCUGCGGCGCUUCCGCUUUACACGCCCCGGCCGGUGACCGGUUCGAUCUGGCUCGGGCCACCCCGACACCUUUACAGUUGCGGUGACGGCGGCGGGGAAUGGUGCGCGGGGUGCAAGAGCCCCAAAGAAACAAUGACAAGUGGGCAAGGAAUACUCGCCGAAGCCCCCACCUCACCCCGCUUUCAAUGUUAGUGUCACUUUUCCUUCCCCGUCCCGGCCAGUCUUGGCGCUCUCUCCCCACUCGGGUCACAUCAAGGUAGCCAGUCUACUGACUGCAUAGAAAGGGAAACACGCUGUUUCAGCUAACAAGACAAGUGCUUACAGAAGCUGCCUGACAACUUCCACCCGAAAACGUGGAAAAUGGGGUCGGGCUAACGCUGCCCACCCAAUUUCUCCGUGAAUAGAACUGGCAGCUAAAAAGUUGCGCCCAGGGCCAUCCGGCACCUGUAAGGCCGGCGGAAGCUUCUCCUCUCCACUCUGUUGAAACCUAUAGACGCUCCUUUCGGUGCUGCAAGCGGGCCCAGGUGAGGGGCAACAGAACGUCUUAACUCUGCCUUUCAAGAUUUUGCAACUCUGGCUCAACUCUAACAUCUUCAAGAUGCAGCAAAUUUGACUUUGAUGUGGAGAUUAGAGAUGCACUUUUCUCCUGUGUGGGCUCUGUUAUCCACAUCAGACUGCCCCUCUACAUGGAUGUAUCCUCACCCUACUCCGGCUGGGCCUCUCCACACUGGACUGACCUUUCUGUGAUGCUGUCUUCACCCUGUAUCAGAACCUUACACAGAAAACUGCCACCUUUUUCUUAAUAUAAAGAAGACUCUUUUCCAAAAAGAAUUCAAAUUUGUCUGUGUUCGAUAAGAUUUAAGUUUAUUUUAUGACAUUUCUGUAAAAGCUUGAGCUAGGGGUGUGUGUGUGUGUGUGUGUGUGUGUGUGUGUGUGUGUGUGUUUUAUUUCAGAAAUUAUUUUUAAAAUACAAGAAAGAGAAGGGGCGGGGGCUGCAAAUAACUUUGUUAAUUGUCUGCAUUGUAUUCAGCCUUGUGCUAGAUGCUUUCAGGAGAUGGUCUCAUUUACUUCCCACCCUUACCCCUCAGGUUAGGCAGUGUUGCCUCAGUUUUAUUGCUCAAGAAGUAAGUCUAAAAGGUUAAGGACAUAAAUGCUAAUGUUUUGGGAGAAAGCAACUUUAUUUUAAUAGAAUGAUUACAAUUGCUCAUUUAUUAAGCUGUGCCAGAAAAACUGAAUUGACAGAUUUUUUUUGGUCUUUUUUCUUUUGUAGGGACUGAUUUUUGUCAUUGUUAAUUAGAUUAGGUAGAUAUUUGAUUUAAUUCUAUUUUCAGGAUAAUGAAAGGCACAGGGUUGUUUGUGUUCUUCCCUAUUACACUUUUGUUCACUGCUGUCUCCAGUAUCUAAAGGGAGUGGCAACAUUAAGUGUAAAGUAGGCAUUCAAUUUCUAUUUCAAAAGAAAGAGAAAAAGAAUGUGAGACAUAUAUAUAAUAAUAUUAUUAUUUUAUAUAUUGCUAUCAAUAUUUUAUAUAUAUAUAUAUAUAUCAAUAGAAAGAGAGAGAGAAAGAGAAAGGAAAAGAAGGGAAGGCAGGAAGAGAGAGGAGAUAAUCCUCUACUUGGCAUAUAAAAGGCUUCAGUAAAAAAAUAAAAAAAGAUACAGUAAGAAGUUUCACCCAUGGCAUUGGGGUGUUGUGGACUUGGGGUGGUGGAAGGUUAGCACUUAUUGGAAUUUGCUAUAUGCCAUGCACUGUUAAGCACAUUAUACCCAUAAUUUCAUUAGUCCUAAAACCAACCAAGUGAGCUAUUUAUUAUUAUUUCCAUUUUUACAAAUGAGAAAAUUGUACUUAGUGUGGUUAAGUAAUUUACCCAAGGUCACACAGCUCACAAGUGGCACAGUCAAGAUGUAAAUCUAUAUCUGUCUGACUUACAGACAUAUUUUUUAAUGGGCUGUUUACCUAUUCAUUUAGCAAACAUUUACUGAAUCUAUAUCACUAUAUCUAUAUUACUAUAUCAUUCUUGUCAGAUAAUCUCAUUUCUUCUCAUACCUUGCAAUAUCACAUGUAAGGUAAAUACUCCCGAAGUAUUUCUUCAUAUACCCAGAUGCCUUUUUGACAUUCCUUACUCUGCCAUCUGUACAUACUUUCACCUAAUAUGUAAGAUCAAAUUCUAGAUUUUAGCCCCCAAUUUGUCUUUUCCUGGGUCUCCAUUUCCUCUGCAGAUUAUACAACUAUCGAUAUAGUUAAUAAAAUCAUAAAAUUGGGAGUCAUCCUUAACUCUUUUCUUUUUUAAAAACUCUCAAAUCCUAAUCUCAUGUUUUACAAGACUUUAUAAGGCCUGUCCACUACCCCCAUCUCUACCUUCAUUUCUCUCCUGCUUCUUAUCUGCUAGUCAUGUGGGCAUUCUGGAAGUUUUGAGAACAAAUCAAGCUCUUUCUUUUUUUUUUAUUACAUUAAAAUUUUUUUUAAAUUUUAUUUAUUUAUUUUUUGGCUGUGUUGGGUCUUUGUUGCUGUGC